rnacentral:lncRNA from 1 species
ACCUAUAUAAAGUUUAUCGAACGUCUUCCUUUUUAAUUAUCGGUUGUUUGGUCUCCUCAUCCUUUCUUUGUUGCUUCUUUUGUGGCUAUCUUGGGGCGUACUUCCAUGCCGGGGGGGGCUCCCACGCUACUCUAUCAUUGACUAGUUCUUCUCUAUCUAAUCUUUUUGGUGUUUCUAGGGAUUCUGAUGCUGCAGAUUGUGUGCAGUUCCAUACUGGUUUGAUUUGCUUAGCAUCCUUCCAGCUUGUAUUUGUGUCUUCGUUGUAGGCUUCUUGGGCUAAUGCUGUGUUGAGUCUUGCCAUAUUGAUGUCUCGCUUGUGUUCCUCCGUUCUCCUUUCUAUUGUCCUUGAUGCUCCAAUGUGUGCCGAUUUCUUACUUGUUUUGUUGUUGGUUAUGGGAACACUGUAGACUCUCUUUCUCUCAUGUUGCGCUAGGGGGUCUUUCUCAUUUUUCAGUAUGUUAUAUAUAGUUGAAUUCCUUUCUAUCGCUAUCUUUCUUUUGCUUUUUCUAUUACUUUUUGCACUGCUUUCGGGCUAUUUGGGUGGUAUGGGACUGGCAUGUAUUCAUUUGGUGUAUGGUUGUCUUCUUUCCGUUCUCUGGGAACAAGGUUCCUCUUUGGCCAUAUAUUCAUUCGGUAUCUGGUUAUCUUCUUCUGUUCUCUGGGAACAAGGUGCUGCUUAAAGAUCCAAUUCAUGAAGGGUCUAUCAUAUCCAUGUUUUCUUCCAAUAUCUGCAAUAUAUUUAAGCUCCGCUUCCAGAUUUUUAUCAUCAUUACAAUACAUCAACGCUCGUCUAUAAAGGCUCCUGAAGGCCAACUUUUUAAAGCUCAUGGGGUUGUUCAACCAUAUCGGUAUUAAAAUUGCUCUAUAUAAUUGGUUUCCCAUACACAAUUGGUUUAAGUGUUCCAUUCUUUAUAUUAAUUUGCAAAUCCAGGAAAUGCACACUUUCCUUACUUAAUUGGUCCCUUUUUAGGGUAUGCCCAAAUUGCUCUAAUAUGAAAUCUUCAGUGAACUUCAUGAACUGGAUGUUUAAGCAGGCUAAGAGGAACUUUGUUUCCAGAGAGCGGAAGGAGGAUAGCCGGGUGCUGAAUGAAUAUGUGGGAGUCCCGUACCGCCCAAAUGGCCUGGGGGUGGUGC